UGUAACAGUGAUAGUUGCACACCGGUCACAGUAUUAAGGGAGGCAGGCAGUGUCAGUACUGCCCUGAUGAAAAAAGUGCACAGGGACCACUCACAGUCA
rnacentral:snoRNA from 1 species